rnacentral:rRNA from 1 species
CUUAAAGGAUUGACGGGGGCCCGGCACAAGCGGUGGAGCAUGUGGUUUAAUUCGAUGGUACGCGAGGAACCUUACCAGGGCUUGACAUACGUUGGAAGCGCAUCGAAAGGUGCGUGCCGCUUGCGGCCGGCGUACAGGUGCUGCAUGGCUGUCGUCAGCUCGUGCUGUGAAGUGUUGGGUUAAGUCCCGCAACGAGCGCAACCCCUAUUGCUAGUUACCAUCAUUAAGUUGGGGACUCUAGCGAGACUGCCAGUGAUAAACUGGAGGAAGGUGGGGAUGACGUCAAAUCAUCAUGCCCCUUAUGACCUGGGCUACAAACGUGAUACAAUGGCUGGAACAAAGGGAUGCGAAGCAGUGAUGUGGAGCGAAACCCAUAAAAACAGUCUCAGUUCGGAUUGAAGUCUGCAACUCGACUUCAUGAAGUCGGAAUCGCUAGUAAUCGCGGAUCAGAACGCCGCGGUGAAUACGUUCUCGGGGUUU